ACGGCCAUGCCAUGAUAAGCAACCGGUUCUCGUCCGGUCACCGAAGUUAAAGAAAAAGCAUAUCGGGCGCGGUCAGUACUUAGGAGGGUGACCACCUGGGAACACCGCGUGCCGUUG